CCUCCCCCUCUCCCACAGGAAGACCCUUCCCAUGCUCACGUCUUUUCGUUUUUUAUUUCUUAUCUGCUGAGUUUGUCAUCUGUGUGGCUGUGGGUUUAGAACUAUACAAUUCACCCAGUGCUUAAGGAAUAAACUAAUAUUGAAUGGAUAUGUGCAUGCAAAGAAGACUUGCUUAUUAUUGAGACCCAGGCCUCCUAAGUGCCUCACUGGCCUCACACCAAGCCUGUCUGUCCUGAUGGACUGGAUCCCGC